rnacentral:lncRNA from 1 species
AUACCGUCAAUGAUCUUGAGAAUCAGCAAUUGAAGAUUAUUAUUAUAUAGCCCAGAAGACCGAUGGGCAGACCGGAUUUAGAUUUUAUUUUUAUAUUUCUGGGAAAUGAGGCAAUUGUCUAUUAACUCCGCUUACUCAAAAGGGAGAAACUCGUAUCAUGACCAGAAAAUUAGAUAGUUACCAUUCGGUAUUUGCUAAAAUGUUAGACUCGAUAUAGAUAGAUGCUACUAAAUAUUACACAUACAUAGAAAUUCCUAAGGUAUGGAGAUCAUAUGGAUAUAGAUAGAUGCUGCUAAAUAUUACACAUACAUAGAAAUUCCUAAGGUAUGGAGAUCAUAUGGAUCGAACAGAGAUAGGAAAGAGAAGCCAAAAGCCACGGGGGAAAUCAUGUACAAUAAAAUACCCUGUAGGGUAGUCAUGUAAGAUGUUGCUUGAACACCAACAUCACUUUAACACACUGCAUCUGGAAGAUGUUGCUUGAACACCAACAUCACUUUAACACACUGCAACAAACAAAAGGAUACCGCAAACAUGAUAA